rnacentral:rRNA from 1 species
CCUACGGGAGGCAGCAGUGAGGAAUAUUGGUCAAUGGACGAGAGUCUGAACCAGCCAAGUAGCGUGAAGGAUGACUGCCCUAUGGGUUGUAAACUUCUUUUAUAUGGGAAUAAAACGUUCCACGUGUGGGAUUUUGUAUGUACCAUAUGAAUAAGGAUCGGCUAACUCCGUGCCAGCAGCCGCGGUAAUACGGAGGAUCCGAGCGUUAUCCGGAUUUAUUGGGAUUAAAGGGAGCGUAGGUGGAUUGUUAAGUCAGUUGUGAAAGUUUGCGGCUCAACCGUAAAAUUGCAGUUGAAACUGGCAGUCUUGAGUACAGUAGAGGUGGGCGGAAUGCGUGGUGUAGCGGUGAAAUGCUUAGAUAUCACGAAGAACUCCGAUUGCGAAGGCAGUUCACUGGACUGCAACUGACACUGAGGCUCGAAAGUGUGGGUAUCAAACAGGAUUAGAUACCCGGGUAGUC